GCGUGGGUCGGCCCGCUGUGCAGGUUUCAGCGGGCUGGGGGAUACCGCCGCCCCAUCCCCGCGGGCGGCGGAACCGGUCCGGGGGGCGAGCAGCGCCUCCCGGACUGCG
rnacentral:ncRNA from 1 species